UAGUCAUUAUGAAUUGUCUCAGUUUUUGCUUGUCUGGGAAAGACUUUUAUUUCUAUUUUGAAGGAUAGCUUUGCUGAAUAUAGUAUUGUCGCCUAGCAGGUUUUUUCUUUCAGUACUUUGAAUAUAUCAUUCUAUUCUCUCCAGGCCUGUGAGGGAAACUGUGGUGAGUCUUUGGUGGGGAUGGGGAUGUCAGAUGGGCUGGUCCUUGGGCACAGUGGUGGUGGGUCUGUAUCUGUAGUUGUGGGUCUGAGCUGGGUCAGUUCUUGGGCCUUCUGGUGUCAUGCUCAGGUGCUAGUGAUUACAGCGGUGGGCUGAGUGGGCAUUGCCAUAUGCCCCUGGGUGGUGUGCAUGAUGUUGGUGGUGGCAGUGGCAGUGGUGUGCCACUUUUGGGCCCCGAUUGGUGUGCAUGGAUGCCAGUGGUGGUGGUGUUGGGCUGGGCAAGACAGUCUCCUGGCCCCCAGGUGGGGUAUGUGUGUUGUGGUGGUGGUGCAGUCUUGGCAUGUUGAUCCCUAGGCCCCCAUGAGGUGUACAUAGGUGUUUUCAGCUAGAUGGGGUGGCCCCCUUUUUAUGCCUUUGGACAACCCACAUGUGCGUUGCUAGUGGUGGGCAGAGUGGCCGAUCCACACACACUUGGAUAGCAUGUGCAGGUGCUGACAGUGAUGGUGGUGGGUAGUGUGGGCAGUCCUCUGGCCCUGCUAAUGGUGCAUGCAGGUGGUGGUGGGCUAUGUGGGCCUAUUUUCAGUUCCUGGGAUGGCAUCCAGGCAGACUGGUCUCCAGGCACCCUAAAGGCCCUUGUAUAUUCAUGGGAAUCCUGCUGCUGGAGGGGUUGAGGUUGCUGUCAGUGGCAGUGGCCUUGUGUAGGUGGCUCUCAGGCUGUGGGGAGUGCAUGCUUCUGUUCUUUUUGUCUUUGGGGCAGCCUCCCUGGUGUGCUAUGCUGACCUUUUCUCAGGAUAUAGGGUGAUGCAUUGGCUAUAGUGCAGGGGACCUGGUUGCACUGCUGGGUCCAGCUGGUGUGUCUUGAUGCUUCAGGUGGACAUGGGAAGAUGUCACUGGGGCUUUAGGAAUGUGGUUGUAGGGCCCUAGUGGAGGAUGUAGUCUAGAGGGGGCUGUGAUUUCAAAAUGGCACUAUGCUGUGGCUGCUUGUGUCUCCAGUGGGUAUGUAGGACCCGGCAGUAAUGCCUUCUCUGCAAUAAUGCCAUUGUGUGGGCUCCUGAGAUCUCCCUCUAAUAGUCUCAGGGUCCACAAGGGCCUAGGGGCUCUCCCAUGGCUAGGAUUGUGGGAGUCUGCAGUGGGAAUGUCUAUCACUUGGGGAUCUCUCAUUUACCUUUUUUUCACAAUGAGGAGUGCCUCCUGGCACUGAGCCAAACCUGGCUGGCUGCCUUGCUUUCCUCUCCUUUUAUGCCUCAGAGCUUUCUUG
rnacentral:lncRNA from 1 species